rnacentral:rRNA from 1 species
UACGUAGGCAGCAAGCGUUGUUCGGAGUUACUGGGCGUAAAGGGUGCGCAGGCGGACCUUUAAGUAGAAAGUGAAAGGUUGGAGCUCAACUCCGACACUGCUCUCUAUACUGGGGGUCUUGAGUCUUGGAGGGGGAAGCGGAACGACACGUGUAGCGGUGAAAUGCGUUGAUAUGUGUCGGAACACCAAUGGCGAAAGCAGCUUCCUGGACAAGUACUGACGCUCAGGCACGAAAGCCAAGGUAGCAAACAGG